UGGGGAAUAUUGGACAAUGGAGGAAACUCUGAUCCAGCAAUUUUGUGUGUGUGAAGAAGGUUUUAGGACUGUAAAACACUUUUAGUAGGGAAGAAAAAAAUGACGGUACCUACAGAAGAAGCAACGGCUAAAUACGUGCCAGCAGCCGCGGUAAUACGUAUGUUGCGAGCGUUAUCCGGAAUUAUUGGGCUUAAAGGGCAUCUAGGCGGUAAGACAAGUUGAAGGUGAAAACCUGUGGCUCAACCAUAGGCUUGCCUACAAAACUGUUGAACUAGAGUACUGGAAAGGUGGGUGGAACUACACGAGUAGAGGUGAAAUUCGUAGAUAUGUGUAGGAAUGCCGAUGAUGAAGAUAACUCACUGGACAGAAACUGACGCUGAAGUGCGAAAGCUAGGGGAGCAAACAGG
rnacentral:rRNA from 1 species